rnacentral:rRNA from 1 species
UUAGAAACAUUCUUUGCAGGCUCAGAUGUUGAUGACAUGGAGCACGACAAAUUGGAAGACUCAAGGCACAAUAACUAUGUCGACCAUGAUCCAUUUGACUAUGUGUACUCAAACCUCCCAGCCAACACACACAUCCUGAAGCACGCCGCGAACUGCGACCACUGCAAGGCCAAGAAGUUUGUGUCCGAGGCCCCGGGAUUCUGUUGUUGCAGUGGGCAGAUCGAGCUGAAGCAACCGGAGCCCAUCCCGGAGCUCAUGAGGCUUUGGUCUAGCACUGAUGUGGACUCCAGGCAUUUUCAGGAGAACAUACGGUUCUUCAACGGCCACUUCUCCUUCACAACCCUCGGCGUCAGCCUCGAUGAAAGCUAC